rnacentral:rRNA from 1 species
UACGUAGGUGGCGAGCGUUGUCCGGAAUUACUGGGUGUAAAGGGUGCGUAGGCGGCUUAUUAAGUCAGUGGUGAAAGCUCCAUGCUUAACGUGGAAAUUGCCAUUGAUACUGAUGAGCUUGAGUAUAUUUGAAGUGGGCGGAAUGUGUCGUGUAGCGGUGAAAUGCUUAGAUAUGACACAGAACACCGAUUGCGUAGGCAGCUCACUAAACUAUAACUGACGCUGAGGCACGAAAGCAUGGGGAUCAAACAGG